UGGUAGUAAUAAAUUUUCAGGUAUUCACACCAGAUCAUAAUUACAUAAAGCUACUAAUAAUAUACACAUACAGGGGGAGCAAAUCGAUGAUGAUGGGUUCCAAGAUUUGCAAUCAAGCUACAAACGGAACUACGCCGCAGAGAAGAUGAAUGCAGCAAGGAUCAGAGAAGGGAAUAUAUUAAGGCCUGAUAGAGUUGCUACUGCACAUAAGGGAGGUUCAGGUGAUCCUUUGUCCGCAGCAACAAAUGCUCACAAUGCUUCGAAACGAAAACGAGUAUAUGUCGAACCACAAAGUCAAGAGUAUGGGAUGCAUGAUCGUGACACACUUAAUUACACAAUGGGGGAGCAAACUGAUGAUGAUGGGUUCCAAGAUCUGCAAUCAAGCUACAAACGGAACUAUGCCGCAGAGAAG